AAUCAACGCUGGCGGCGUGCCUAACACAUGCAAGUCGAACGCGAAAACCCCGAAGGGUUAGUAGAGUGGCAAACGGGUAGAGUAACGCGUGGGUGACCUGCCUUCGAGCGGGGGAGUAACGUUCCGAAAGGGACGCUAAUACCGCAUAACAUCCUGCCUUUAAACAGGUGGUGAUCAAAGCUGGGGACCGCAAGGCCCGGCACUUGAAGAGGGGCCCGCGUCUGAUUAGCUAGUUGGUGAGGUAACGGCCA
rnacentral:rRNA from 1 species